rnacentral:rRNA from 1 species
CCUGGCUCAGAUUGAACGCUGGCGGCAGGCUUAACACAUGCAAGUCGAACGGUAGCAGGAGAAAGCUUGCUUUCUUGCUGACGAGUGGCGGACGGGUGAGUAAUGCUUGGGAAUCUGGCUUAUGGAGGGGGAUAACUACGGGAAACUGUAGCUAAUACCGCGUAAUAUCGAAAGAUUAAAGUGUGGGACCUUCGGGCCACAUGCCAUAAGAUGAGCCCAAGUGGGAUUAGGUAGUUGGUGGGGUAAAGGCCUACCAAGCCGACGAUCUCUAGCUGGUCUGAGAGGAUGACCAGCCACACUGGAACUGAGACACGGUCCAGACUCCUACGG